rnacentral:rRNA from 1 species
GUAACACGUGGGUAAUCUGCCCUGUACUCUGGGAUAAGCCUGGGAAACUGGGUCUAAUACCGGAUAUGACUAUUGAGGGCAUCCUGGGUGGUGGAAAGUUCCGGCGGUACAGGAUGAACCCGCGGCCUAUCAGGUUGUUGGUGGGGUAAUGGCCUACCAAGGCGACGACGGGUAGCCGGCCUGAGAGGGUGACCGGCCACACUGGCACUGAGACACGGCCCAGACUCCUACGGGAGGCAGCAGUGGGGAAUAUUGCACAAUGGGCGCAAGCCUGAUGCAGCGACGCCGCGUGAGGGAUGACGGCCUUCGGCUUGUAAACCUCUUUCGCCAGGGACGAAGCGCAAGUGACGCUACCAGGAUAAGAAGCACCGGCUAACUACGUGCCAGCAGCCGCGGUAAUACGUAGGGUGCGAGCGUUGUCCGGAAUUAUUCGGCGUAUAGAGGUCGUAGGCGGUUUGUCGCGUCGGCCGUGAAAUCUCCACGCUUAACGUGGAGCGUGCGGUCGAUACGGGCAGACAUGAGUUCGGCAGGGGAGACUGGAAUUCCUGGUGUAGCGGUGAAAUGCGCAGAUAUCAGGAGGAACACCGGUGGCGAAGGCGGGUCUCUGGGCCGAUACUGACGCUGAGGAGCGAAAGCGUGGGGAGCGAACAGGAUUAGAUACCCUGGUAGUCCACGCUG